UCUCUUCCUUUUUGAAUUCUGGAGUUGAGAGCUGAAAACGAGUUUUCUUCCUCAACAAUCAACCUACAUCACGAUUCUGAUUCUUCACAGAAACGAACAGAGCUCGCCCGUGAUUCUUGUUUUCGCCUGAGGGCAUCGUUUUCCAGAGUCUACUAAUUGCUUAUCAUUGAGUGCUUCCAACUUUUAUUCUGCCAUUUUUCUUAAUGAUGAAGCCGGGACAUUGAACUUUUCUUCGUGGUUCUUCAUCUGGGUUUUUGAUGAAUUUCCCCAAAGACGCUAAUUUUGUAAACAAUUCGGGUAUUUUUUUAAUGGGUUUUUGUUACAUUUCUGUUAUAGAUAAUAAAUUUCAUUGAAGUUGAGGGCUUUAAUUAUGAGAAUGGAUUUUCAGAAGCUACGGCUUCUGCAAUACCUUUCUUGAACUCCGAUGGCAUUUUUAAUUAUUUUUGUUCAUUGUUGUCUUUAUGGUUCUUUUUCUUUUCCACCUUCCCCCCACCCAUUGUUGAGUAUAUGAUAAGUAAUUAAGAAAAGCAAGUUGAGUAUUGAGUUCUGUAUUCUCUGAAUGAAAUUUAUCUUUUUUCUUUUGAUAGGGUAUGAAUAAGGCUAAAAUGCCUUGACCUAUGACGACAAUGUAGUUUUUUUAUUAAUUUAUUCAAAGCAUAGCCUUAGUAAAAUUAGGAAUUGAUGUCACGGUCGAGAUUACAGAAAAGUGAUGGGCAUGGCUCAAUUGGAAUUUUGCAAAAUGUGGCAGUGGCAAACAGUUGCAGUUUGACAGAAAUAUUCUGUAAAAGACUUAUAGUACCAAUCACCAUUGUGUUGCAAAAUUUUUGAACAUUUUCGCAGGUUGGAGAAUUUGUAAAGAAGAUGAAGGCGAUUGGAGUGAGCUGCACAAAAGACCACAAGAAAAAAAGUGAAGGCAGCAUGAUUCGAGGGCAGUGAGUGGAAACGAGAGACUCAUUUCAACAGGUUCUAGCAAGGUUCAUCAAAUCUGAGCUUGCUGGAACUCAAGAUGCCACGAAGCAUCCAGGAGAAAGAGUCUGGAAGGUCAUCUUGGAAUGAUUCUUGGGCUAACAAUGUGGCUUGGCAUCGAGGUUCUCUGGAAGUGGAAAUACAUAUUCUAUUGCAGCUUGUCAAAUCUGAAGUCUUCUGCAUUUCUUUCUAAAAUAAAACUUUUAAACAACACGAGAUCUUCUUUCACCUGAUUCUCUGGAGAAUGCACUAACUGGAGUUACCUCUUUUGUAUUGUAUCAUUGGUUCUUCUGUAACUCUGAUUAAACACUGUAAAGAAGCCAUGAUAAAGUGUCCUUGAAUUUUAUACUCUAAUCAUUUCCAUGUUGGCUAUGCAUAGUCUCUGCAAUCCAUGGCUGGGGAUAUUUCUUUUUUUUUUUCUUUUUCCCUUAAUCUAAAACCUGAAUGGUUAAAACCUACUCCACUCCCCUGUUCUUGAUAUUACUAAUUUGAUAAUUUUGAAUGAUGCAGACCUCGUGCAUUGGAAGUUUUGGCUCAAACUCACAUAUGUAUAAAAUUAAUGGAACUGCAAACAUAAAUGCUGUUAGAGCUGCUGAUGAACAAGUUUUGUUGGUUGAGCCUCAAAACUUAAGGAGUCCUUUGGCCUUCUCAUUUAUAAAGUAAAAUUGAAGGUUCUGUUACUCUACCUUUGAACUUUGCAUGUUAUAGUGGUACUUGAGACCCAGAAGAAGUUAAAAGGGGUGGAGGGGAAGAACUUUGCAUGUAGGAAGAUACUUGAUAAACAAGGAUGAACAUUUUGACCCUUGUCUCCGUCCAUAAUUUGGACUGCUGAAUGUCGUUUUUAUGCUUUUAUGAAUUAUGGUCUGUAUUUAUCAUUUAGUGGGUGUUUGGGUUGGCUUGGCUUGAAGUA